CACCUAAACCACCUCCACGUACUAAAAAACGUAAACCAACUUCACCUCCUUCAAGAAUGAUCCUCACUCUGCCACUGGGUAUUACAGAUGCUGCUGCAAUUGAAUUUAUA
rnacentral:lncRNA from 1 species